CCCUUAGAUGUUCUGGGCCGCACGCGCGCUACACUGACGAAUGCAACGAGCUUAUAACCUUGGCCGAAAGGUCUGGGUAAUCUCCAAAUUUCGUCGUGAUGGGGAUAGAUUAUUGCAAUUAUUAAUCUUCAACGAGGAAUGCCUAGUAAGCGCAAGUCAUCGGCUUGCGUUGAUUACGUCCCUGCCCUUUGUACACACCGCCCGUCGCUCCUACCGAUUGAAUGGUCCGGUGAAGCGUUCGGACCGUGGCCUUUGGACGGUUCGCCGUCUGUUGGCUGCGGGAAGUUCGUUAAACCUUAUCAUUUAGAGGAAGGAGAAGUCGUAACA
rnacentral:rRNA from 1 species